CCUACGGGUGGCAGCAGGAGGGAAUAGUGCUCAAUGGGGGAAACCCGGAAGCAGCAAAGCAGCGUGGAGGAUGAAGGUGGUAGGAGUGGAAACACCGUUUGAUAGAGAAGAGAAGGACGGUAUCUAACGAAUAAUCACCGGCUAACUCCGUGCCAGCAGCCGCGGUACUACGGAGGGGGCACGCGUUAUCCUGAAUCACUGGGCGUAAAGAGCGCGUAGUCGGGAUAGGAAGGCAGAUGUGAAAGCCUAUGGCUGAACCGUAGAACUGCAUUUGAAACGGUCAGUCUUGAGUAUGGGAGAGGUAGGUGGCAUUCUUGGUGUAGCGGUCACAUCCUUAGAUAUC
rnacentral:rRNA from 1 species